UACGUAGGCAGCGAGCGUUGUUCGGAGUUACUGGGCGUAAAGGGUGUGUAGGCGGUUUUCUAAGUUUGGUGUGAAAUCUCCCGGCUCAACCGGGAGGGUGCGCCGAAAACUGGGAGACUAGAGUGCGGGAUGGGAGAGUAGAAUUCCUGGUGUAGCGGUGAAAUGCGCAGAUAUCAGGAAGAACACCUAUGGCGAAGGCAGCUCUCUGGGACGGUACUGACGCUGAGACGCGAAAGCGUGGGGAGCGAACAGG
rnacentral:rRNA from 1 species